rnacentral:rRNA from 1 species
GUGGGGAAUAUUGCACAAUGGGGGAAACCCUGAUGCAGCAACGCCGCGUGAAGGAAGACGGUUUUCGGAUUGUAAACUUCUAUCAACGGGGAAGAAAAAAAUGACGGUACCCGAAUAAGAAGCCCCGGCUAACUACGUGCCAGCAGCCGCGGUAAUACGUAGGGGGCAAGCGUUAUCCGGAAUCACUGGGUGUAAAGGGUGCGUAGGCGGUUAUGCAAGUCAGAUGUGAAAUACCGAGGCUCAACUUCGGAACUGCAUUUGAAACUGUGUGACUAGAGUACAGGAGAGGUAAGUGGAAUUCCUAGUGUAGCGGUGAAAUGCGUAGAUAUUAGGAAGAACACCAGUGGCGAAGGCGACUUACUGGACUGAAACUGACGCUGAGGCACGAAAGCGUGGGGAGCAAACAGGAUUAGAAACCCUAGUAGUCC